UAGAGUACUAGACUACAGUAAAUAUAAAUAUAUAUAUAUAUAUAAAUAUAUAUAUAUAUAUAUAAAACUUAUUCUUGCAUAGCAGACAAUGUGUAGUCAUAGUGACAAUUUUAUAGAAAACAAUAAAAGUUAACAGUGGAUGAUUACCUUUAAUGUCUCUCUAAAAUCGAGAUCGUUGUACUUUUAUCAAAAGCACUUCCUCUCCUGUAGCAAACAAGCUUGAAGUUGCUUCUUCUCAGACGAAAAAUUAGUAGUGAGUGGCCAGAAAAGAAAAUAGAAAGGAACACCUGCUCCAAUAACAAGGCGUCGGAGGUCAAUGGAUAAUGGCAACUCAAAGAUAUGUAGAGCACCAGUGGUAGAGUAGCAGGGAGGUGGUGAUCUGAGAUGGAGGAGAUCGAAGAUGAACAAAGUGGCUGGAAGAGAUCGGACAUGAAACAUAUCUGGAAGGAGGCGAUUGUUGCGGAUCCUUGUCGAUCACCUAACUCAUAGAUCUGAACUUGCCAGUUGAUGCUUGUAGAUCUACAUUAUCGCUCGCCGAUCUGCAUCGUCACUCAUCGGAAUUCGUUGAUUUAGCCUAGUCUUUCGACAGUGGUGUUGUAGCGGCGAUUACCGACAUAAAUCAUAGAUCUUGAGUUGGAGGAAGUAAAUGUUAGCGGUGGAAAAUUAACAAAUAUAUUCCUCAGUAAUUGUUACACAAAUCCGUUCAUUUUGAUGUAUAUAUAAAUUUGUAUUUGAAAAAUUAACAAAUAUAUUCUUGGUUAUAAGCUAAAAAUAA